GACCCUCUGGGCGGCCCGCCAGGCUCCGGUUUUUGUUAACCCCGCAUCGUCAACCUGGGAUCCGCCUCUGCCUCGCGGUGAGCAAGCCCCGCAUCACGGGGAAGCCUGAAGCGUUGCAUCGUGGAGCCCCCCUGCGCGAGCAGGGGUUGACGGACCGGGGCCAGCGACCGAGUCGGAGGGUCA
rnacentral:other from 1 species